rnacentral:rRNA from 1 species
CCUAUGGGAGGCAGCAGUAGGGAAUCUUCCACAAUGGACGCAAGUCUGAUGGAGCAACGCCGCGUGAGUGAAGAAGGUUUUCGGAUCGUAAAGCUCUGUUGUUGGUGAAGAAGGAUAGAGGUAGUAACUGGCCUUUAUUUGACGGUAAUCAACCAGAAAGCCACGGCUAACUACGUGCCAGCAGCCGCGGUAAUACGUAGGUGGCAAGCGUUGUCCGGAAUUAUUGGGCGUAAAGCGCGCGCAGGCGGUUCCUUAAGUCUGAUGUGAAAGCCCCCGGCUUAACCGAGGAACUGCAUCGGAAACUGUUUUUCUUGAGUGCAGAAGAGGAGAGUGGAAUUCCAUGUGUAGCGGUGAAAUGCGUAGAUAUGCGGAGGAACACCAGUGGCGAAGGCGACUCACUGGCCCGAUACUGACGCUGAGGCGCGAAAGCGUGGGGAGCAAACAGGAUUAGAUACCCUGGUAGUCCACGCCGUAAACGAUGAGUGCUAAGUGUUAGAGGGUUUCCGCCCUUUAGUGCCGAAGCUAACGCAUUAAGCAUUCCGCCUGGGGAGUACGGUCGCAAGGCUGACACUCAAAGGAAUUGACGGG